ensembl:rRNA 5S_rRNA 5S ribosomal RNA
GUCUAGGGCCAUAGCAGCCUGAACACACCCGAUUUCUUCCGAUCUUGUAAGCUAAGGAGAGUCGGGCCUGCCUUAGUCCAUGGAUGGGAGACCACCUGGGAAUACCUGGUGUUGUAGGCU